rnacentral:rRNA from 1 species
GAUGAACGCUGGCGGCGUGCUUAACACAUGCAAGUCGAACGAGAAGUGAAGACGGAAACCUUCGGGCGGAAGGCUUUAUUUCGAGUGGCGGACGGGUGAGUAACGCGUGGGUAACCUGCCUCAUACAGGGGGAUAACAGUUGGAAACGACUGUUAAUACCGCAUAAGACCACAGCACCGCAUGGUGCGGGGGUAAAAACUCCGGUGGUAUGAGAUGGACCCGCGUUCGAUUAGCCAGUUGGCGGGGUAACGGCCCACCAAAGCGACGAUCGAUAGCCGAUCUGAGAGGAGGACAGGCCACAUUGGGACUGAGACACGGCCCAAACUCCUACGGGAGGCAGCAGUGGGGAAUAUUGCACAAUGGGGGAAACCCUGAUGAAGCGACGCCGCGUGAGUGAAGAAGUAUUUCGGUAUGUAAAGCUCUAUCAGCAGGGAAGAAAAUGACGGUACCUGAGUAAGAAGCCCCGGCUAACUACGUG